AGAAAAGGCGGUGACAUCAGCAAAAGGGAGCCAACUCCUUCCCCGUCUGCCGUUUUGUACUCUUGGCCUAACGUUGACUCAAAACAGCAACUUGGAGCCUUCCCUGACCUGUUGGCAUUCCUUUAUCAUCCAACUCCUGCUUCGGGAAAAUUUGUUUCUGUCUGUCUCCAAGAUACAAAAUCAAAAAGGUGUUUUAAUCCUGAGGAAGAGUGUGAGUCUGGGAAAAUUUUGGAUCACCGAGGUGCAGCCAUACCUUCCACAGCCAUCACUGUUGCUUACAACUCACAUGCCAAGAAUUGCAAGAUGAAGAUGGUGAUCAGGAGGCAUGACUUGUAACUACUUGGUUAGUGUAAAGCAGAGAGGAGAAUUAGGAGAGGCAGAUGGCAGAGAGGUCUGCCAUGGAAGAUUCAUGGAUGACAGGAGAGGCUGUGUUCCAGAAGGCAAGGAAGAAGAGCCCAAGGACCGUAGCAAGGCCCUGAUUCUGGGAGACGAGAGAACACGCUGACUUAGAAUGCUUGUCUCUGCAUCCUGGUCAGAAAGUAGAUGGACGACACUUUCAUCUCCGACUGGAUUUUGGUGAGAGAUGGGCAAACCCCGGGCUCUAGGCUGGAGCAGCAGCUCUUGUAUCCACACAAAAUCAGGACUGGUGGAGGGAGCCAUCUUCAAACAUAAAUUUGGUGAGUUUAACAAUCAGAGAUUUGAAAAACACAGAAAUGAACAUUUCUGAUCAAUGACACUGCUGAUCUGAUGCAUCAUAACAGAAACCAGUCAUCAAGGUACAACAAACUGUUCCAAACCACUGAGAAAUGGCUUGUCUGUGGGCUCCCAGUUCAAAUGCUCACAAACCUGGGAGGCUGGUUGAUCAGGGUUGGGAGGGAGGGUCUAGCCAUAGCUCAGCAGCUUCCCUAAGGUUGUUGUGCAUGUCCCUAGCUGGCUUAGUUUGGGCUGAUGUCUUUUACGUGUAGUUCUAGAUGGUUUGAACAUAUUGGCUGUUUCUCGUUUUCUUCUGUUUAAGCGUCUUUUGGCAAUGCACUCCUUGGGUUUGGAAGCUUCCCUCCAAGAUGCUGAGCCCAAUGUUUGGGGAAAGCCAGGGAAACAGAUGCUGGGUCAGUGCUGCUCCCACCUCCUCUGCUCCCCUCCUGAGGGCUCCACUGAGUCACCAGCCAGCAAACAGCCCAUGCGCCCUGGAGCAGAUGGACUGUGGGUACACGAGCCUCUGAACUCUUGGGCAGCAUGGGCACAACAUCCUUUUGGCCUCACCCAAUGACCUGGCUGGGUCUCCUCUCUGCACAAGCUCUCUUUGCCUGCUGCCAUCCAUGUAAGAUGUGACUUGCUCCUUCUUGCCUUGCGCCAUGAUUGUGAGGCCUCCCCAGCCAAGUGUAACUAAUCCCCCAGCGGUCACCCAGGGCCACUCUUCUCUUCCCGGGGACUUUGUU
rnacentral:lncRNA from 1 species